rnacentral:misc_RNA from 1 species
AUCUUAAAUGUGGAGUGCUUGCCUUGAUGUGCUGUAUGUAUUGUGUGUGAAUGUUGACUGAUGGACAAACUGUCUAAAAGUCUACGAAACAGUUGUAAAAUGAAAAUUUUAUUUGUUCACUGUAUUCAUUCUAAAAGUUAACAUCCAAUUAUAGUGUGUCUCUCAAUUUUGUUUAUUACUAGUGCUUACAACAUUUACAACAUCCAAAACUCAAAAAAUUAAUUUUAUUUAAGAUAUUUUCUGUAUAUGUAUACAUUUGAAUAUUAGAAUUUUGUUUUAUUUUGAAAUUCAGAUACAUUCAAAUUUAUGGAAGUUUGGACAAUGUUUAUAUUUCAUGUGCUUGAUCUCAGUCAUGUAGUAAACUGAUAUCAAUGUGCAACUGGUAUGGUACACAAUUAAAAAUGAAGAUGUG